rnacentral:misc_RNA from 1 species
AUGGGUUGUUGCUGGCCUUCCGAGGCAUGUGCACGCCCUGCUCAUCCACUCUACACCUGUGCACUUACUGUAGGUUGGCGUGGGUUUCUAGCCUCCGGGCUGGGAGCAUUCUGCCGGCCUAUGUACACUACAAACUCUAAAGUAUCAGAAUGUAAACGCGUCUAACGCAUCUUA